rnacentral:rRNA from 1 species
GAUGAACGCUGGCGGCGUGCCUAAUACAUGCAAGUCGAGCGAACGGACCAGAAGCUUGCUUCCCUGAUUUUAUCGGCCGACGGGUGAGUAACACGUGGAUAACCUACCUAUAAGACUGGGAUAACUUCGGGAAACCGGAUCUAAUACCCACUGAUAUUUUGAACCUCAUGGUUCCCAAGUGAAAGACGGUCUUGCUUUCACUUAUAGCUGGAUCCGCGCUGCAUUAGCUAGUUGUUAAGGUAACGGGUUACCAAAGCAACGAGGCAUAGCCGACCUGAGAGCGUGGUCCGCGAGACUGGAACUGAGAAAGAGCCGCGACACCGGCGGGGGGAAACAGUCGGGAAUCUUCCGCAAGGGACGAGAGCCUAACGGUGCAAAGCCGCGUGAGUGAUGAAUGACUACGGAUCGUAAAGCGAUGUUGUUAUGGAAGAAGAAAUGUGCAAGUAACUGUGAAGAUAAUGACAGUACCUGGAAAAAAAGCCACGGCUAACUACGUG